UACGGGAGGCAGCAGUAGGGAAUAUUGCACAAUGGAGGGAACUCUGAUGCAGCGACGCCGCGUGAGUGAAGAAGUAUCUCGGUAUGUAAAGCUCUAUCAGCAGGGAAGAUAAUGACAGUACCUGACCAAGAAGCCCCGGCUAACUACGUUGCCAGCAGCCGCGGUAAU
rnacentral:rRNA from 1 species